rnacentral:tRNA from 1 species
UCUCUGGUAGUCCAGUGGUUAGGACUCCCUGCUUCCAAAGCAGGGGGUGCAGGUUCUACCUCUGGUCAGGUAA